CUAUAAAAGCUGGAAGCUAAGCGACGUAGCGUCCUUUUCUGUAGCUGGUCGCUGUGAGAAGCUAGCAGAAGUUCACAAUGUUUUACAAGAUUAUCAGUCUAGUUACUUCACAUGUCGAGUUGCUCGCUAAUCGCAUUUCAUUGGACGGUCACCUCUUCGUCCCAGAUUUUGGAUGAUGUCUGUGUCUCUGGCAUGAGUGCAUUGAUCUGAUAAGUGAUGUUGAAGCAGGCUAUUCAAGCAUCAUGCAUAGAUUCAGCAAAAUACGCCGUGGGUGAACUCAGAAGAGCAGCAGUCAUUUUUGUUACGUUGACAUGACGUUUAACAGCAGCAGUGAACAGUGAGCAAUGUGUGACGGCAGGAAAAGGGGUGAGACGUUUCUACAGUCAUCCUGCAUCGCUUGGAUUUUAUCGUCUCCAUCAUUCUGAAGACUGAUUUUUGUGUUUUCAUGCUUUUUGUAAUAAAAAAUAUUACAAAUCCCUAAA